rnacentral:lncRNA from 1 species
UGUCAUUGGGGAAAAUGUCACUGUGGCUGGAGCCCCAUGAAGGUCCAGGGUGAUAACCUGUCUUAAUUAUUUCUCACAGUUGCGUGGAGUCUACAAUUCAGAGCAGCAAGUUAAAAAGAAAAAAAGGCAAGAGGACUCCUCCCGGAAAGAUGGGCCAUCCAUGAGUGCGCGGCUUGUCACUGAAGUUUGGCAAAGCCAGAUUGUCGCCGGUCGGAGCAGCACUGCCCUUUCUCUGGCACCAGUUUUGCAAACUUUCCGUUUGAAAACCAGAGGGAUGACCGACUUUGCGGAUAAAGACAUGAAUCUCCUGGCACGCGUGAGAGCUGACAUAAAUAAAUAUUGACUCGGAAUGACCAGUCUAAGAGGCGUGAACUCUGUUGGCCAUUUGGAUGAGAAGGGAGAGGCACGCUUCGGGACCUUCAUCCACACGAAACAUAGAUUUGCUCACUGUCUAUUGCCCGGAUAAAGGAAACUUAGCUAAACUUCGUAACAUUCAACGGACAUAAUAAUUUAAUAAUAUUUCACAUCUAUGUAUGCAUGCCUCCAUUUUGGACAACAGGACAGAACUGCAGUGGCACCAACCCUGGGAUUGUUCGUGACACGUGAAGGUAGCAGACACGCGGGGAGCUGGUAUCAGACGUCUUCGUGUGUGAAAAUUUGACAAGUUGAAAAUCAGAUACCGCUGAGGGCAGUGGCGGAAGUCAGCCUCCUCGCAGAGAACUGUGGUGCUGGGUCAGCAUCGGGGCUGCUUGAAAUGGGGGGGGGGGGGGUCUCCUGCACCGUCCGUUCCAGAUGCGUCCCUGCUAGCACCAGGUGACUGCACAGCACACGUGCUCAGUGUGGCCCAGAGCGCGUUGGGACUUUAGAAAACCAGCAGGAGGCGUCCCUGCUGACGCGCCCCGGGGUGUCCCUUGUGCCUGGCUGCAAAACAGCGCCUGCGUCGUCGACUUGUAAAAGUCUUCACGGCCCAGGAAGCAGUUUUCAGCAUCUGCCACCCCAUGUCCGUGCGUCCAGACCGCGUUUCCUAAAGAGGGGCCUCAAUGGAACCAGUCUCUCUUCCUCCUGCAGAGCCUCUGCGUCCUGACGCUGUGCAGAAGCCGCGGGACGUGGAGGAGGCCUGAGCCGCCGCCCCCAGGAGCCCUCGGCGCCCACACGGUGAGUGCCCACCGCCGCCAUCGGCCCCCAAGACCACGGUACCCAAACGUCCCCCAGUUUCCUCAGGCACACGAUGAAAGGAAGCCUUUCCUUUAAAUGUUUAACUUUGAUACAUUGCUUUG